UAAAAGUCAAAUGAAAUUAUUUUAAUGAUUUAAGAAAGUUAAAAAUAUUUUAAUAAAACAUGCUUUGAUAAAGGUUUUAAAUACUAAUUUAUAUUGGAAAAGAAAUCUAAUGGACUUGAGGAAUUCAAAAUCCUAAAUGGAUAAGGAAAAGGAGUCAUAUUGAUGAUAAAAGUCCUAAUUUGUUUAUUCUAUUCAUCAUCAAUUUUAAUUGAGCCUAAUCUCCUUUUCCUAAGCCCAAAAGGGAAGCUCUUUAUAUAAAUAUCCUAAAAACCCAAAAUUAUUUCACCCUACACAUUAUUUUCUCUCAUUCACACGUCACUCUCUAUUCUCUCUCUCCUCAUGAUUUUCUUUUCUUCCCUUCACUCGUUUUUUCUCUCACCCGAAUCUGAUUGGCCAGAUUUCUCAUAGUUCCGUUUAUUUUUAGCCAAAACUUCCUUCUUGAAAGUUGUAGAUCUCGAAAAGUUAUUGAAGUUAGACUCAAGAAUCGCUCAAUUCCGAUUCUUAUUCUAUUAGUUAUGGCCUCUGCAAGUUUCGCAAUUCUGCUGCCAUAUUUCCCUCGCGAUUUCGGCGGAGAAUCUUUCGUGGGAGACUUUUAACGUUUUAAAAGUGGCCUACAGGCUAGUAUAUAAAGAGUCAAGAAAGCAUUGACAUUACAGGUUCGAAGAUGCAUACCAUUGGGGAAUCUGGAAUGGAGAGGCUUUUGUGAUAGUAGUAUUUAAGUUAUUUCUAGGAGUUUAUAUUUUCAGACUUUAGCUUUGAGUUGGUGUGUUUCAGU